rnacentral:rRNA from 1 species
CCUACGGGUGGCUGCAGUGAGGAAUAUUGGUCAAUGGGCGAAAGCCUGAACCAGCCAAGUCGCGUGAGGGAGUACUGCCCUAUGGGUUGUAAACCUCUUUUGUCGGGGAGCAAAGGCCGGACGUGUCCGGCUGUGAGAGUCCCCGAAGAAAAAGCAUCGGCUAACUCCGUGCCAGCAGCCGCGGUCAUACGGAGGAUGCGAGCGUUGUCCGGAUUUAUUGGGUUAAAUGGGUGCGCAGGAGGAUUAUUAAGUGAGCGGUAAACUCGUGGGGCUCAACCCCAUCCAGCCGUUGAAACUGGGGAUCUAGAGUGUGCGAGAGGGAGGCGGAAUGCGUGGUGUAGCGGUGAAAUGCAUAGAUAUCACGCAGAACCCCGAUGGCGAAGGCAGCAUACCGGUGCACAACUGACGCUCAGGCACGAAAGCGUGGGUAUCGAACAGGAUUAGAUACCCUAGUAGUC